rnacentral:rRNA from 1 species
AUUGAACGCUGGCGGCAGGCCUAACACAUGCAAGUCGAGCGGGGUUUUCGGACCCAGCGGCGGACGGGUGAGUAAUGCGUAGGAAGCUACCCGAUAGAGGGGGAUACCAGUUGGAAACGACUGUUAAUACCGCAUAAUGUCUACGGACCAAAGUGUGGGACCUUCGGGCCACAUGCUAUCGGAUGCGCCUACGUGGGAUUAGCUAGUUGGUGGGGUAAUGGCUCACCAAGGCGACGAUCCCUAGCUGGUUUGAGAGGAUGAUCAGCCACACUGGAACUGGGACACGGUCCAGACUCCUACGGGAGGCAGCAGUGGGGAAUAUUGGACAAUGGGCGCAAGCCUGAUCCAGCCAUGCCGCGUGUGUGAAGAAGGCCUUCGGGUUGUAAAGCACUUUCAGUAGGGAGGAAGGGUGUUGUGUUAAUAGCACAGCAUUUUGACGUUACCUACAGAAGAAGCACCGGCUAACUCUGUGCCAGCAGCCGCGGUAACAC